rnacentral:rRNA from 1 species
GCCUCUUGNCCAAAUAUAAGAGGUCCAGCCUGCCCACUGACAUAGUUUAACGGCCGCGGUACCCUAACCGUGCGAAGGUAGCAUAAUCACUUGUUCUUUAAAUAAGGACUCGUAUCAACGGCAUCACGAGGACUAUACUGUCUCCUUUCUCCAAUCAGUGAAACUGAUCUCCCCGUGAAGAAGCGGGGAUUAACCUAUAAGACGAGAAGACCCCAUGGAGCUUAAAGCCCACAAACACCUCUACGCACUUAAACCAAUUUAGCCUAAGAGACCUGUAAGCCGGCUUUAGGUUGGGGGGACCGCGGAGAAAAACCUAACCUCCACGACAAACGGGCAAACGCCCUUAUCCAUGAAUUACAAUUCUAAGAAUCAAUAAACUGAUGUUUAAUGACCCGAUUAUUCGAUCAACGAACCAAGUUACCCUGGGGAUAACAGCGCAAUCUACUUUAAGAGCUCAUAUCGACAAGUAGGUUUACGACCUCGAUGUUGGAUCAGGGUAUCCCAGUGGUGUAGCCGCUACUAAAGGUUCGUUUGUUCAACGAUUAAAACCCUACGUGAUCUGAGUUCAGACCCCGGA